UACGGAGGGUGCAAACGUUGCUCGGAAUCAUUGGGCGUAAAGCGCACGUAGGCGGCUCGUUAAGUCGGAUGUGAAAGCCCCGGGCUCAACUCGGGAAGUGCAUUCGAAACUGGCGAGCUUGAAUAUGGAAGAGGGUCGCGGAAUUCCCGGUGUAGAGGUGAAAUUCGUAGAUAUCGGGAGGAACACCAGUGGCGAAGGCGGCGACCUGGGCCAAUAUUGACGCUGAGGUGCGAAAGCCAGGGGAGCAAACGGG
rnacentral:rRNA from 1 species